rnacentral:rRNA from 1 species
GACGAACGCUGGCGGCGUGCUUAACACAUGCAAGUCGAACGAAGUGGCGAACGGGUGAGUAACGCGUAAUCAACCUGCCAUUCAGAGGGGGUCAACAGUUGGAAACGACUGCUAAUACCGCAUACUGAAGGAGGGGAUUGCGUCUGAUUAGCUGGCUGGAGGGGUAACGGCCAACCAAGGCGAUGAUCAGUAGCCGGGCUGAGAGGAUGAACGGCCACAUUGGGAAUUAGACACGGCCCAGACUCCUACGGGCGGCAGCAGUGGGGAAUCUUCCGCAAUGGACGAAAGUCUGACGGAGCAACGCCGCGUGAGUGAUGACGGCCUUCGGGUUGUAAAGCUCUGUUAAUCGGGACGCGGUACCUGAAGAAUAAGCACCGGCUAACUACGUGCCAGCAGCCGCGGUAAUUC